AACGAACGCUGGCGGCAGGCCUAACACAUGCAAGUCGAGCGGGCGUAGCAAUACGUCAGCGGCGGACGGGUGAGUAACACGUGGGAAUAUGCCUUUCGGUUUGGAACAACUCGGGGAAACCCGUGCUAAUUCCGGAUACGCCCUUAGGGGGAAAGAUUUAUCGCCGAAAGAUUAGCCCGCGUCCGAUUAGCUAGUUGGUGAGGUAACGGCCCACCAAGGCGACGAUCGGUAGCUGGUUUGAGAGAACGACCAGCCACACUGGGACUGAGACACGGCCCAGACUCCUACGGGAGGCAGCAGUGGGGAAUCUUGCGCAAUGGGCGAAAGCCUGACGCAGCGACGCCGCGUGAGGGAUGACGGCC
rnacentral:rRNA from 1 species